rnacentral:tRNA from 1 species
GGGCCGAUAGCUCAGUUGGUAGAGCGCCGGGUUGAUACCCGGAAGCGCGGGUUCAAGUCCCGUUCGGUCGG